rnacentral:rRNA from 1 species
GACGAACGCUGGCGGCGUGCCUAAUACAUGCAAGUCGAGCGGACCACUUCGGUGGUCAGCGGCGGACGGGUGAGUAACACGUGGGCAACCUGCCUGUAAGACUGGGAUAACACCGGGAAACCGGUGCUAAUACCGGAUAAUCCUUUCCUUCACAUGAAGGGAAGCUGAAAGACGGUUUCGGCUGUCACUUACAGAUGGGCCCGCGGCGCAUUAGCUAGUUGGUGAGGUAACGGCUCACCAAGGCAACGAUGCGUAGCCGACCUGAGAGGGUGAUCGGCCACACUGGGACUGAGACACGGCCCAGACUCCUACGGGAGGCAGCAGUAGGGAAUCUUCCGCAAUGGACGAAAGUCUGACGGAGCAACGCCGCGUGAGCGAUGAAGGCCUUCGGGUCGUAAAGCUCUGUUGUCAGGGAAGAACAAGUACCGGAGUAACUGCCGGCACCUUGACGGUACCUGACCAGAAAGCCACGGCUAACUACGUGCCAGCAGCCGCAGUAACAC